UUAUGGGUUAUGUUAGAGGUAGUAGUUUUAUUUGAGUGUGAAGGCAAAAGUGAGAAUUCAAGAAGCUAAGAAGUGAAUGGGAAAUACGAUUGACCUUUGAACAAUAUGGAGGUUUAGAGCACCAACCCCUCACGCAGUUGAAAACCCAUGUAUAAUUUUUGACUCCCCAAAAACUUAACUAGUAGUGGUUGAGGAAGUGGAAAGUGGUGUUACUUCCUUUAACUUUCAGGGGUAACCUUUGACUCUAGCUAUGAAAAGUUAAUCUCCCCUUAUACUUCACAGAGUCCUGUUGACUUAAUGUAAGUAUCAGAGUUCCCUGAAAAGUAUAAAUCACUAGGUGAGUAUAAGAGCAGCAGCCUUCCCAAGAAUGUAUUCAUUUUUGUUUUGCAUAGGUCAUUUAGAUUGUAUUCUUGUUAUUUAUAAUGGUCAGUCUUCCCCUUGGAUGAAACGUUCCAUUUUCUUUUAAGUUUUUUAUAAUGCUUCACUUAGUUGGGCAUCAAGAACACUUAAACUAAUUAGCAAUUUCUUAUAAUCUGACCCUUAGUAUUGCUGUUGGAGGGGGAAAAUGAAAAGGAGGAUUAUUUUUCAGAGAUUACCUGAAGCUGACUUUAUUUUCAGUAGCCCCAAUUAUAUUUUGCAAUGUUUUUUAAAAAUAUGAAAUACAGACCAACACUUAGAGCAGCGGUUCUCAAUCUGUGGGUCGUGACCCCUUUGGGGGUCAAACAACCCUUUCAGAGGGGUCGCCUAAGACCAUCGGAAAACACAUAUAUAAUUACAUAUUGUUUUUGUGAUUAAUCACUAUGCUUUAAUUAUGUUCAAUUUAUAACAAUGAAAUUGGGGGUCACCACAACAUGAGGAACUGUAUUAAAGGGUCGCGGCAUUAGGAAGGCUGAGAACCACUGACUUAGAGUGACCUCUCUUGAAAUGACUCCAGAAUUGAUGAAUAUGCUAUCCAUGAAAACCAAGUCACCGUCACACUCCGCACCUCGUUAAUGAGAUAGAGUUAAAUGCAUUAUGGGAGCUCCCUUUGGAUGCUGCUUUAUGUUGACUGAAGCUGACUGUUUUGUAUGCUCUUGAGAGAAUCUCCUCAGGGGACUGCAGUUUGCACUGCCCUCCCCCCACCAAAGCCUG